AUUGAACGCUGGCGGCAGGCCUAACACAUGCAAGUCGAGCGGAUGAAGGGAGCUUGCUCCUGGAUUCAGCGGCGGACGGGUGAGUAAUGCCUAGGAAUCUGCCUGGUAGUGGGGGAUAACGUCGGGAAACGGGCGCUAAUACCGCACACGUCCUGAGGGAGAACCUGCGGGAUCUUCGGACUUCACGCUAUCAGAUGAGCCUAGGUGGUAUUAGCUAGUUGGUGGGGUAAAGGACUACCAAGGCGACGAUCCGUAACUGGUCUGAGAGGAUGGUCAGUCACACUGGAACUGAGACACGGUCCAGACUACUACGGUAGGCAGCAGUGGGGAAUAUUGGACAAUGGGCGAAAGCCUGAUCCAGCCCAGCCGCGUGUGUGAAGAAGGUCUUCGGAUUGUAAAGCUCUUCUAGUUGGGAAGAAGAGCAGUAAGUGUAUACCUUGCUGUUUUGACGUUACCUAAUGAAUAAGCACCGGCUAACUUCGUG
rnacentral:rRNA from 1 species